UUACUGUCAAAGUUUGUUUCAUCAACUUGUAGACUUGGUUUACAAUGAAGUUGACCAUAUGAAAUACGAACACGCACACCGAACACGACACAAACACUGACACGUCGACACACCGCUAAUAAUUUGAUAAAAUUACAUAAUUCAGUGUAAUUAUAUGUGGUGUCGUGUUGGUGUCAGACAUCACACAUGUUCUACAUCGGGGCAUAUCUAAUUCGAGGAGUGUCCGUGCUUCAUAAAGUUGACCAAGUUAAAGGUUUACCAGUGAAGAGAAUGUGUACAGAGUUACUUCUUAGUGAGGUUGCUUUCUCAGCCUCAAACAGAUCAUUGUCACCAAUUGGAAGAUAUGUUUGGAUUUCAAUUUGCAAUAGUAUAAUUUUGUUUUUAGUAUUAAAUUCAUUCAGGGAUUUAUAUGCUUCCAAUGCAAGGAAAUAUUGUUGGAUUACCUUGUUGACUCUUACUCCAUGUGUGUCUCGUGACUCUGAACAUGAAAAUUUGUGGUGCUGAGACCCUAAUCAAGACAGACCAUUAGUGCAUAUCUUAACAGUAACAAUUCAUGCCUACAUCAUUGAUGAUGUUUGGUGAAUUUUUUCCCCAAUGAUAUGAAUUAUGAAGAUGAAUUACUUUCUUUUCUUCUUCUUUCAAUUACCCUUUUCUGAGGGCAUUGUAUGCAAGAUUUAAAUGGUAUUUGACGGCAACACCGUCGCGAUCGAAGUACAUAAAUGGUAUUUGAGGGCAGUUCUUCUCAUUAUCAAGAAUCGCGAUGCGACUGUUGUUGUGACUUUUGUUUUGUUUCAAAGAAUCAAGCGGUGAAACUCGCAUACAUUGAGUGCAGAGAAGUGGGGUAUUGUAGGUUUGAUCUGUGUAAGCAAAUCUAAGGUUCUUGCAACUUUUUUAUCAUAUGAGUUGUACUUAUGGACCUAUGACUGUGAUUUUUAAAUGCUUUAAUUAUA
rnacentral:lncRNA from 1 species